AUUGAACGCUGGCGGCAGGCCUAACACAUGCAAGUCGAGCGGAUGAAGGGAGCUUGCUCCUGGAUUCAGCGGCGGACGGGUGAGUAAUGCCUAGGAAUCUGCCUGGUAGUGGGGGAUAACGUCCGGAAACGGGCGCUAAUACCGCAUACGUCCUGAGGGAGAAAGUGGGGGAUCUUCGGACCUCACGCUAUCAUAUGAGCCUAGUUCGGAUUAGCUAGUUGGUGGGGUAAAGGCCUACCAAGGCGACGAUCCGUAACUGGUCUGAUAGGAUGAUCAGUCACACGGGAACUGAGACACGGACCAGACCCCUACGGGAGGCAGCAGUGGGGAAUAUUGGACAAUGGGCGAAAGCAUGAUCCAGCAAUGCCGCGUGUGUGAAGAAGGUCUUCGGAUUGUAAAGCACUUUAAGUUGGGAGGAAGGGCAGUAAGUUAAUACCUUGCUGUUUUGACGUUACCAACAGAAUAAGCACCGGCUAACUUCGUG
rnacentral:rRNA from 1 species